GACGAACGCUGGCGGCGUGCCUAAUACAUGCAAGUAGAACGCACAGUUUAUACCGUAGCUUGCUACACCAUAGACUGUGAGUUGCGAACGGGUGAGUAACGCGUAGGUAACCUGCCUGGUAGCGGGGGAUAACUAUUGGAAACGAUAGCUAAUACCGCAUAAUAUUAAUUAUUGCAUGAUAAUUAAUUGAAAGGUGCAAUUGCACCACUACCAGAUGGACCUGCGUUGUAUUAGCUAGUAGGUGAGGUAACGGCUCACCUAGGCGACGAUACAUAGCCGACCUGAGAGGGUGAUCGGCCACACUGGGACUGAGACACGGCCCAGACUCCUACGGGAGGCAGCAGUAGGGAAUCGUCGGCAAUGGACGAAAGUCUGACCGAGCAACGCCGCGUGAGUGAAGAAGGUUGUCGGAUCGUAAAGCUCUGUUGUAAGAGAAGAACGGGUGUGAGAGUGGAAAGUUCACACUGUGACGGUAUCUUACCAGAAAGGGACGGCUAACUACGUG
rnacentral:rRNA from 1 species